AUUGAACGCUGGCGGCAGGCCUAACACAUGCAAGUCGAGCGGCAGCGGGAAAGUAGCUUGCUACUUUUGCCGGCGAGCGGCGGACGGGUGAGUAAUGCCUGGGAAAUUGCCCAGUCGAGGGGGAUAACAGUUGGAAACGACUGCUAAUACCGCAUACGCCCUACGGGGGAAAGCAGGGGACCUUUAGGCCUUGCGCGAUUGGAUAUGCCCAGGUGGGAUUAGCUAGUUGGUGAGGUAAUGGCUCACCAAGGCGACGAUCCCUAGCUGGUCUGAGAGGAUGAUCAGCCACACUGGAACUGAGACACGGUCCAGACUCCUACGGGAGGCAGCAGUGGGGAAUAUUGCACAAUGGGGGAAACCCUGAUGCAGCCAUGCCGCGUGUGUGAAGAAGGCCUUCGGGUUGUAAAGCACUUUCAGCGAGGAGGAAAGGUUGAUGCCUAAUACGUAUCAACUGUGACGUUACUCGCAGAAGAAGCACCGGCUAACUCCGUGCCAGCAGCCGCCGUAAUAC
rnacentral:rRNA from 1 species